rnacentral:rRNA from 1 species
UGGGGAAUAUUGCACAAUGGGCGGAAGCCUGAUGCAGCGACGCCGCGUGAGGGAUGACGGCCUUCGGGUUGUAAACCUCUUUCAGUAGGGACGAAGCGUAAGUGACGGUACCUGCAGAAGAAGCACCGGCUAACUACGUGGCAGCAGCCGCGGUAAUACGUAGGGUGCGAGCGUUGUCCGGAAUUACUGGGCGUAAAGAGCUCGUAGGCGGUUUGUCACGUCGUCUGUGAAAUCCUAGGGCUUAACCCUGGACGUGCAGGCGAUACGGGCUGACUUGAGUACUACAGGGGAGACUGGAAUUUCUGGUGUAGCGGUGGAAUGCACAGAUAUCAGGAAGAACACCGAUGGCGAAGGCAGGUCUCUGGGUAGUAACUGACGCUGAGGAGCGAAAGCAUGGGUAGCGAACAGG